GACGAACGCUGGCGGCGCGCUUAACACAUGCAAGUCGAGCGAAGCGGCGGACGGGUGAGUAACACGUGAGUAACCUGCCUUAGACAUUGGGAUAGCCUCGGGAAACCGGGAUUAAUACCAAAUGUUCUAAGAUGGACUCGCGUCCCAUUAGCUAGUUGGUGUGUAACGGCCCACCAAGGCGACGAUGGGUAGCCGGCCUGGCAAGGUGAACGGCCACAUUGAAACUGAGAAGCGGUCCAAACGCUACGGGAGGAAGAAGUGGGGAAUAUUGCACAAUGGAGGGAACUCUGAUGCAGCGACGCCGCGUGAACGAAGAAGGCUUUCGAGUCGUAAAGUUCUUUUAUAUGGGAAGCGGUACCAUAAGAAAAAGCCCCGGCUAACUACGUGCCAGCAGCCGCGGUAAUAC
rnacentral:rRNA from 1 species